rnacentral:SRP_RNA from 1 species
AGGCACGGUGGUGCAUGCCUGUAGUCCCACCUCCUCCUGAGGUGGGAGGAUCGCUUGAGUCCGGGAUUUCUGGGCUGUAGUGCGCUGUGCCGAUCGGGUGUCUGCACUAAGUUCAGCAUCAAUAUGGUGACCUCCCAGGAGUAGGGAACCACCAGGUUGCCUAAGGAGGGGUGAACCGGCCCAGGUUGGAAACGGAGCAGGUCAAAACUCCCGUGCUGAUCAGUAGUAGGAUCGUGCCUGUGAAUAGCCACUGCACUCCAGCCUGGGCAACAUAGUGAUACCCCAUCUCU